AGUGAACGCUGGCGGUAGGCCUAACACAUGCAGGUCGAACGGCAGCACAGUAAGAGCUUGCUCUUACGGGUGGCGAGUGGCGGACGGGUGAGGAAUACAUCGGAAUCUACUUUUUCGUGGGGGAUAACGUAGGGAAACUUACGCUAAUACCGCAUACGACCUACGGGUGAAAGCAGUGGAUCUUCGUACCUUGCGCGAUUGAAUGAGCCGAGGUCGGAUUAGCUAGUUGGCGGGGUAAAGGCCCACCAAGGCGACGAUCCGUAGCUGGUCUGAGAGGAUGAUCAGCCACACUGGAACUGAGACACGGUCCAGACUCCUACGGGAGGCAGCAGUGGGGAAUAUUGGGCAAUGGGCGCAAGCCUGAUCCAGCCAUACCGCGUGGGUGAAGAAGGCCUUCGGGUUGUAAAGCCCUUUUGUUGGGAAAGAAAAGCAGCAGGUUAAUACCCAGCUGUUCUGACGGUACCCAAAGAAUAAGCACCGGCUAACUUCGUG
rnacentral:rRNA from 1 species